AUUGAACGCUGGCGGCAUGCCUAACACAUGCAAGUCGAACGGCAGCACGUUGUGUAGCAAUACACAUGGGUGGCGAGUGGCGGACGGGUGAGUAGAAAGUAGGGAUCUGCCUUGUAGAUUGGGAUAACUUGGGGAAACUCGAGCUAAUACCGGAUAAGCACUAAGGUGGAAAGCAUGGGACCGAAAGGCCAUGCGCUAUAAGAUGAACCUACGUCGGAUUAGCUAGUUGGUUAGGUAAAGGCUGACCAAGGCGAAGAUCCGUAGCUGGUCUGAGAGGAUGAUCAGCCACACUGGGACUGAGACACGGCCCAGACUCCUACGGGAGGCAGCAGUGGGGAAUAUUGGACAAUGGGGGAAACCCUGAUCCAGCGAUGCCGCGUGUGCGAAGAAGGCCUGCGGGUUGUAAAGCACUUUAGUUGGGGAAGAAAGUUCAAGAGUCGAAUAGGCUUUUGAUUUGACGUUUACAC
rnacentral:rRNA from 1 species